GACGAACGCUGGCGGCGUGCUUAACACAUGCAAGUCGAACGAAGUGGCGAACGGGUGAGUAACGCGUAAUCAACCUGCCCUUCAGAGGGGGACAACAGUUGGAAACGACUGCUAAUACCGCAUACUGAAGGAGGGGAUUGCGUCUGAUCAGCUAGUUGGAGGGGUAACGGCCCAACAAGGCGAUGAUCAGUAGCCGGGCUGAAGGGAUGGACAGCAACAUUGGGAAUGAGACACGGCCCAGACUCCUACGGGAGGCAGCAGUGGGGAAACUUCCGAAAUGGGCGAAAGUCUGACGGAGCAACGCCGCGUGGGUGAUGACGGCCUUCGGGGUGUAAAGCUCUGUUAAUCGGGACGCGGUACCGGAAUAGAAAGCCACGGCUAACUACGUGCCAGCAGCCGCGGUAAUAC
rnacentral:rRNA from 1 species